CAGCAGCCGCGGUAAUACAGAGGGUGCGAGCGUUAAUCGGAUUUACUGGGCGUAAAGCGUGCGUAGGCGGCUUCUUAAGUCGGAUGUGAAAUCCCUGAGCUUAACUUAGGAAUUGCAUUCGAUACUGGGAAGCUAGAGUAUGGGAGAGGAUGGUAGAAUUCCAGGUGUAGCGGUAAAAUGCGUAGAGAUCUGGAGGAAUACCGAUGGCGAAGGCAGCCAUCUGGCCUAAUACUGACGCUGAGGUACGAAAGCAUGGGGAGCAAACAGGAUUAGAUACCCGAGUAGUCCCUGUCUCUUAUAC
rnacentral:rRNA from 1 species